GUUGUUUUCCGACCACCGAGUGGAUAUAAUAUCAGCCAGUUACAGUGUAUUCCAUUUUUAAAUUCACAUUUUUUAAAUUUCUUUUAAUUAAAUUAUAAAUUCUUCUUUUAAAUUUUUUUAUUCUUCUUUUUAACUUUUUAAAUUAAAUUUCUAGUGAUUCUGGUGUAAUUGUUACUGUGUGUGUUUUGAAGUCCAUUUAUUUUUUCGUGUCGAACCAUGUGGUAUUCUAUCCCGGGCCAGUUCUCUCUGGAGGAGGAGUAUAAGAAGCCGACAGGUGUGACUCCAGCGGACGUGAGCAACCUGAGGCAGUGGUUGCAGACGCAGCCCCAUCUGCCGGCCGAGCAUAUAACUGAUUUGGACCUAGUUUUGGCAUACCACUGCUGCGAGCGAAGUUCGGAAGUGGCCAAGCAAGUGCUCGACCUGAAUCUCACCCUGAAGACGUUAUUCGUUAAUCUUUUUAAAGACAGAUACAUGAAUGAUAAGAUAGAGUCAAUUCAUCAUAUAGUGUUGUUGCUGCCGCUGGAAAUUCGAACACAUGACGGCUAUGCUGUUAUAUAUUCAAGAUUGUUGGACUAUGAUACUAAACAGUUUGUCUUUGCCGAUUGCAUCAGGACUAUUUUAAUGGUGAUCGACCUGUGGCAGUACAAAUCAGGCACCUGGCCAGGUUUUGUGAUCCUCAUAGACCUAGACAAAAUAACAUUGGGCCACGUAGCUAGACUGGACUUGCAAACAAUGCAACAAUUUUUAUACUUCUUACAGGAAGCGUUGCUCGUGAAGAUGAAAGGGCUACAUUACCUAAACGCACCUCCUUUCAUGGACAAGAUAAUGAUUUUGAUCAAGCCCUUUUUAAAGAAAGACCUACUUGAUGUUCUUCAUAUUCACCAGAUAGGUUCUAAGACUUUGGAGAAGUUCGUGCCGACGGUGGGCCUGCCGAAAGAAGCCGGUGGAGAAUACAAGACUUUCAAUGAAUGUAGAGACGAUGUCAUAGCAGCUUUUAAAGCGAACAAAGACUAUUUCGAGGCGGAGACCAAGAAGCGAGUCGUCGAGUCGCGUCGACCCGGGAAGCCGAAGACUAUUUCGGACAUAUUCGGAGGUGUUGAGGGCUCCUUCAAGAAAUUAGAAAUCGAUUAAAUUAGAAACUCAAUUGACUGAACACAAUUUAUGUACGGGUGAAGUUGGAAUUGUUAGUUAUUCUACAAAGAGUGUUCUAUCAAUUAAAUAUAGUUUCGUGUUUUGGAGGCAAGCCAUCUUGCCGGCACGCACGAGACUACUGCACCACCUAACCGCUAAAAUGAUUUCUUAUUGGCUGGUUUAGAAUCUCGCUAUCAUGUUAUUUCCGCUUCGUGCGUAAAAAUGAAUUGCGCGCGGUUUUAGAAUUUUUAAAGUUACAACUCACGCCCGUAUCGAUCAGGUCUGAAAGGGAUAUACCUGGACAUUACCACAUAGAUCUGUGUCGGUCACUUUGAUUCUUCUGUGGCUAUCUUAAUAUCUUAAUAAGUUAGGUUAAAGUAAUUAGGUACAUUAUGUGGAAAAAAAUGGGUAAAAUGCUUAGGUACGAGUAUAUAACGUUUUCUCAAAGUGUAUUUGUGGUUUUUCUAAAUUUGCACUUUAUUAUUUUGCGCUGCUUUAUGUCAUUAUAUGAUAAAUACAUAUUAUAUUUUACUGUU